rnacentral:lncRNA from 1 species
GAACCUGGUCAAGCACACUUGCACUCGAGGGACACAUGGCAGCCAUCCGGAGGCAGCACAAGAUGGAUCCACUAAGGGUCUAAUUUCAUCAUCCGGGAGGAUCCAAAAGCCCGCAAUGGAUCUGCGAUUUGAUCUCCCGCAACCCUCAUCCAGAUCCCGCGAUCAAGGCCCUCAUCUUCCGCCCGUUUAAGGCGCUUCCCAGCUUCCUCCUUCCGCUUGCGACCCCGUAUCCCAGCGCCCGUGAAGCUUCCCAGCAGCCCUCCACCUCUUCCGUGACCUCCUCCC